AGUGAACGCUGGCGGUAGGCCUAACACAUGCAAGUCGAACGGCAGCACAGUAAGAGCUUGCUCUUACGGGUGGCGAGUGGCGGACGGGUGAGGAAUACAUCGGAAUCUACUUUUUCGUGGGGGAUAACGUAGGGAAACUUACGCUAAUACCGCAUAUGACCUACGGGUGAAGCAGGGGAUCUUCGGACCUUGCGCGAUUGAAUGAGCCGAUGUCGGAUUAGCUAGUUGGCGGGGUAAAGGCCCACCAAGGCGACGAUCCGUAGCUGGUCUGAGAGGAUGAUCAGCCACACUGGAACUGAGACACGGUCCAGACCCCUACGGGAGGCAGCAGUGGGGAAUAUUGGACAAUGGGCGCAAGCCUGAUCCAGCCAUACCGCGUGGGUGAAGAAGGCCUUCGGGUUGUAAAGCCCUUUUGUUGGGAAAGAAAAGCAGCAGGUUAAUACCCCGCUGUUCUGACGGUACCCAAAGAAUAAGCACCGGCUAACUUCGU
rnacentral:rRNA from 1 species